GAUGAAGAACGUAGCGAAGUGCGAUAAGUAGUGUGAAUUGCAGAAUUCAGUGAAUCAUCGAAUCUUUGAACGCACAUUGCGCCCCAUGGUAUUCCGUGGGGCAUGCCUGUUCGAGCGUCAUUUACCCCCUCAAGCUCCGCUUGGUGUUGGGCGUCUGUCCCGCUUCGCGCGCGGACUCGCCCCAAAGGUAUUGGCAGCGGUCGUGCCAGCUUCUCGCGCAGCACAUUGCGCUUCUCGAGGCACCGGUGGGCCCGCGUCCAUCAAGCUCACCCCCCCAGUUUGACCUCGGAUCAGGUAGGGAUACCCGCUGAACUUAAGCAUAUCAAUAAGCGGAGGA
rnacentral:misc_RNA from 1 species